rnacentral:rRNA from 1 species
AUUGAACGCUGGCGGCAGGCCUAACACAUGCAAGUCGAGCGAGCGGCGGACGGGUGAGUAAUGUAUGGGAAUCUGCCCGAUAGAGGGGGAUAACUACUGGAAACGGUGGCUAAUACCGCAUACUAUCGGAUGAACCCAUAUGGGAUUAGCUAGUAGGUGGGGUAAAGGCUCACCUAGGCGACGAUCUCUAGCGGGUCUGCGAGGAUGAGCAGCCAUAAGGGUACGGAGACACGGCCCAGACUCCGAAGGGAGGAAGCAGUGGGGAAUAUUGGACAAGGGGGGCAAUCCUGAGGCAGCCAUGCCGCGUGUAUGAAGAAGGCCUUCGGGUUGUAAAGUACUUUCAGCGGGGAGGCGUUACCCGCAGAAGAAGCACCGGCUAACUCCGUGCCAGCAGCCGAGGUAAUAC